ACAAAUGGUGGAACAGUCCUGGUACCACGAUCAUGGUGGUAGACAAAUGGUGGAACAGUCCUGGUAUCACGAUCAUGACAAAUGGUGGAAGAGUCCUGGUAUCAAGAUCAUGGUCAUAGACAAAUAGUGGAACAGUCCUGGUACCACAAUCAUGGUGGUAGAAAAAUGG